rnacentral:lncRNA from 13 species
AGGACCCUUGUGAUUAAUUUAGGGCCACCUGGAUAAUCUCCCCAUCUCAAGAUUCUCAGUCCAAUCACAUCGCGAAGUCUCUUUUGCCAUGAAAGGUCCCAUAUUUAUAGGUUUCAGUGAUGAGGACAUGGAUGUCAUCGUGGAAUGCAUGUUCUUCUGCCAGCUCCACAAAGAAUUAUGCAUUCUUUCACUCUAGCACAGCUUUGACCUUGGGGUUUCAGGCUGUAACUAGGGAUUCUGCAUUUGCCCAAAUAUUUAUUGAGCACCUACUACACGCCAGGACCUGUGCUAAGUGUUAGGACUAGGGCAGUGAACAAAACAGACUACUCCCAGGGCACUCUCUUUGAAGAAGACACAGGUAUUCACAUUUGUCCCAUCAUGCCCACCCUGCCAGUCUUACCUGUGGGCAUUGGAAUUCACCAUUCCCAUGUACCCGUCCCCACUUCCUGCCCUAUAGAUGGAACACUAUAGACUGCUCCGUAUCCCAUCAAUCUUUGGACCACUUUCUUCUGACCUCUGGGUUCCCGGGGUGGCUUCUGCAGGCACGUAGAGAUGGGACAGGACCUCUCUCAGUGCCUCUGGUUCUCACUCACCUAGGCUAAGAAAAGGGAGGUUGAGGCCACUUUGAAAGUCAAGCGGAAAGUUGUACUGCACUUAAAGGGUUUGCAUCACGACAGAUCUCAGCACGGGGAAAGCCGGCACAGCCUAGCCCUGGACUUGGCCCAUUCCUUCCAGCUGAGCUUCCCCCAGGCCCUGAGCUUGGAUGGGGGCAUCAUCUUUAGACAGAGUCCUCCAGGAACGUUCAAUUUUGGCGUGGAUACUCGAGCUGCCAUCAACCACGUCACAUCCCAGGUCUCGGUCCAGCUGAACAGAUCUGACUCCAACUUUGCGUUUUUCUUCCAACUCAGACAUCCCCACAGACCAGCAUUUCCUCCAGACUUCCAGGUGCAGGCAGCUGCCGGGCACUACAGAGUGCGCAGCCUCAAUGGGUCCCUAUCUGUGCGAAUGUCCAGCCGGGAGCUGGUUCUGCUGGAGGUCGACGCCAGCCAGGACACUCGGAGGAGCGGCCAGGGCUGGGGCGUGAGUGUCCUUCUCCACCAGGCUGUCUUCAGCGCCCCCAGGGCUGUUCGGCUGCAGCUGUCUGGAAAGAUCACCCCAGCAAGAUUAUUAUGAUUCUUCAUGUUAUCUACCAUGACUGCUCCCAUCACAAUGGAAGAACCUAGGUUCAGCUCCCACUGUGCUUGGUGAGUGCUCGAGGGCUGGAGGGGAUCAGGAGGGCUUCCUGGAGGAGGGGGUCCUUCCCCACACUCAGGUUCCUGUAGACCCUUUCUGUCUACCCUCUGCUUCUGGGCUCUCCCCUGCCUCCUGACCAGCUGGUUAUAACUCAGAGGUCCCUAUGACCUCCUCCCAUCUUGUGUCUGAUCAUUUGCGAAAAUGGCUCACAGAAUUCAGGGAAACCUUUUAUUUAUAUUUACUCAUUGCUUAUAGAGGCUAUGAUUGGAGAAUGGCCGGAUGGAAGAGACGCAUAGGGCAAGGUAUGGGGGAAGGGGUUCUGGGCUUCCCU